rnacentral:rRNA from 1 species
UGAAGAGUUUGAUCCUGGCUCAGAUUGAACGCUGGCGGCAUGCCUUACACAUGCAAGUCGGACGGCAGCGCGGGGGCAACCCUGGCGGCGAGUGGCGAACGGGUGAGUAAAGCAUCGGAACGUAUCCAGGAGAGGGGGAUAACGUAGCGAAAGUUACGCUAAUACCGCAUAAACUGUGAGCAGAAAAGCAGGGGAUCGCAAGACCUUGCGCUUUUGGAGCGGCCGAUGUCGGAUUAGCUAGUUGGCGGGGUAAAAGCCCACCAAGGCGACGAUCCGUAGCGGGUCUGAGAGGACGAUCCGCCACACUGGGACUGAGACACGGCCCAGACUCCUACGGGAGGCAGCAGUGGGGAAUUUUGGACAAUGGGCGCAAGCCUGAUCCAGCCAUGCCGCGUGAGUGAAGAAGGCCUUCGGGUCG